rnacentral:rRNA from 1 species
UACAGAGGGUGCAAGCGUUAAUCGGAAUUACUGGGCGUAAAGCGCACGUAGGCGGUUUUUUAAGUCAGAUGUGAAAGCCCCGGGCUCAACCUGGGAAUUGCAUUUGAAACUGGGAAACUAGAGUGUGUGAGAGGGGGGUAGAAUUCCAAGUGUAGCGGUGAAAUGCGUAGAGAUUUGGAGGAAUACCAGUGGCGAAGGCGGCCCCCUGGCACGAUACUGACGCUCAGGUGCGAAAGCGUGGGGAGCAAACAGG